UUGAACGCUGGCGGCAGGCCUAACACAUGCAAGUCGAGCGGUAGCACAGAGAGCUUGCUCUCGGGUGACGAGCGGCGGACGGGUGAGUAAUGUCUGGGAAACUGCCUGAUGGAGGGGGAUAACUACUGGAAACGGUAGCUAAUACCGCAUAACGUCGCAAGACCAAAGUGGGGGACCUUCGGGCCUCAUGCCAUCAGAUGUGCCCAGAUGGGAUUAGCUAGUAGGUGGGGUAACGGCUCACCUAGGCGACGAUCCCUAGCUGGUCUGAGAGGAUGACCAGCCACACUGGAACUGAGACACGGUCCAGACUCCUACGGGAGGCAGCAGUGGGGAAUAUUGCACAAUGGGCGCAAGCCUGAUGCAGCCAUGCCGCGUGUGUGAAGAAGGCCUUCGGGUUGUAAAGCACUUUCAGCGGGGAGGAAGGCGAUAAGGUUAAUAACCUUGUCGAUUGACGUUACCCGCAGAAGAAGCACCGGCUAACUCCGUGCCAGCAGCCGCGGUAAUACGGAGGGUGCAAGCGUUAAUCGGAAUUACUGGGCGUAAAGCGCACGCAGGCGGUCUGUCAAGUCGGAUGUGAAAUCCCCGGGCUCAACCUGGGAACUGCAUUCGAAACUGGCAGGCUAGAGUCUUGUAGAGGGGGGUAGAAUUCCAGGUGUAGCGGUGAAAUGCGUAGAGAUCUGGAGGAAUACCGGUGGCGAAGGCGGCCCCCUGGACAAAGACUGACGCUCAGGUGCGAAAGCGUGGGGAGCAAACAGGAUUAGAUACCCUGGUAGUCCACGCCGUAAACGAUGUCGAUUUGGAGGUUGUGCCCUUGAGGCGUGGCUUCCGGAGCUAACGCGUUAAAUCGACCGCCUGGGGAGUACGGCCGCAAGGUUAAAACUCAAAUGAAUUGACGGGGGCCCGCACAAGCGGUGGAGCAUGUGGUUUAAUUCGAUGCAACGCGAAGAACCUUACCUGGUCUUGACAUCCACAGAACUUUCCAGAGAUGGAUUGGUGCCUUCGGGAACUGUGAGACAGGUGCUGCAUGGCUGUCGUCAGCUCGUGUUGUGAGAUGUUGGGUUAAGUCCCGCAACGAGCGCAACCCUUAUCCUUUGUUGCCAGCGGUUCGGCCGGGAACUCAAAGGAGACUGCCAGUGAUAAACUGGAGGAAGGUGGGGAUGACGUCAAGUCAUCAUGGCCCUUACGACCAGGGCUACACACGUGCUACAAUGGCAUAUACAAAGAGAAGCGACCUCGCGAGAGCAAGCGGACCUCAUAAAGUAUGUCGUAGUCCGGAUUGGAGUCUGCAACUCGACUCCAUGAAGUCGGAAUCGCUAGUAAUCGUAGAUCAGAAUGCUACGGUGAAUACGUUCCCGGGCCUUGUACACACCGCCCGUCACACCAUGGGAGUGGGUUGCAAAAGAAGUAGGUAGCUUAACCUUCGGGAGGGCGCUUACCACUUUGUGAUUCAUGACUGGGGUG
rnacentral:rRNA from 1 species